GUAACAUUUUUGUUUUAUUUGACAUUUUAAAUAUCGACUAUCAAGUAAUCAAAAACAAAAAAAACCAAUCUCUUUGACGACAACAUAAACAUCAAAUCGUAUUCAUAAUUUUCGGCAAUCAAUCAAAAUUCUAAGUGAUUUUACCUCGAAAGAAAUACUUCGAGAAUAUCAAUAUCACCUACCUACAUAAAGAUCAAAAAUGAGUUGCUGCUCACCUUGUUGUUCACCCUGCUGCUCCCCCUGCUGUGUACCUUGUUAUCCCUGUUGCGUCCCAUGCGUGUACUACCCAUGUUGUUUCCCCUGCUGUAGUCCCUGCUGUAGUCCGUGCUGUCCUCCCAAAGGGUGCUGCUAGAAGAUAUCCAUGGGUUUAUUAAUUUUAUGUUCAAAGAAGUGAGUACGUCCAAAAUAAAAGCAGGUCAUAAAAGAGAAAAAAAUAUACAGAAACAAAUAAAAAACAUGAAAUUGUUAGAAAUUAAAAACUCAAAUAGGGGCUGGUAUCUGCGAAGACCAACAUUGCUUAAAGUUCUCUGGAGGACGUCUCUCUUUGUAUAAAACUGUUUAGUUACACUUAGUUUUAAAAUUGGAAUACUAAACAAUCAAUUCUUAACAAAUGAGUUUUACUAGUAAGAUUGUCGUUUAAAUAGUCUUAUUUUGUUCGAUGUUGUGCUAGUAGACAUGAAUUCCUUCCAAUUGGGAUAAAACUUUUGUAGUAUCAAAAUUUAAUAAAAUAAAAAUAAUUUUGUGACUAUUUGAA
rnacentral:lncRNA from 1 species